rnacentral:rRNA from 1 species
GUUGAACGCUGGCGGCAGGCCUAACACAUGCAAGUCGAGCGGAUGAAGGGAGCUUGCUCCUGGAUUCAGCGGCGGACGGGUGAGUAAUGCCUAGGAAUCUGCCUGGUAGUGGGGAUAACGUCCGGAAACGGGCGCUAAUACCGCAUACGUCCUGAGGGAGAAAGUGGGGGAUCUUCGGACCUCACGCUAUCAGAUGAGCCUAGGUCGGAUUAGCUAGUUGGUGGGGUAAAGGCCUACCAAGGCGACGAUCCGUAACUGGUCUGAGAGGAUGAUCAGUCACACUGGAACUGAGACACGAUCCAGACUCCUACGGGAGGCAGCAGUGGGGAAUAUUGGACAAUGGGCGAAAGCCUGAUCCAGCCAUGCCGCGUGUGUGAAGAAGGUCUUCGGAUUGUAAAGCACUUUAAGUUGGGAGGAAGGGCAGUAAGUUAAUACCUUGCUGUUUUGACGUUACCAACAGAAUAAGCACCGGCUAACUUCGUG